CAGGAACUGAAAUGCCUUGGUUGGACGUUUGAGGUUGCAUCACUGAAAUAAGUUUUGCCCGUGGCUGUUGUGGAAAAUUCCAUGUGGAUGUGCAAGCUUAUCGUCUGAUCUUCCAAGAUGCUGGAAUGUCCUCUAUUAUGUUCCCAGCAAUCUGGUGGCCAUCAACACCUUGCCGAUAAACUGGAAAUCUUCACCUUCUUCCAUCCUCACCUCUCAAAUGACCCAUGAAAGAGACUUGGAGAUCAAAGAAAUCCUCUUCCAUCCUUAUCCUUCGGACAGAGAGACUGAUGGGAUUUAGCACCCAUGUGGGAGUAUGAGCAUUGAUUUGAAGAACAAAGAAGCAUCGACCUUUUGUCUGCUGCUGUCAUCCCCUGCUUCACCAUUAAGGCUGAAACUUGACCUAAAAUCAGUGCAUUCCUACAUAUCAGCAACUGGUACCCAAAAGAGGCAAACUGGAAUGACAUUGUGAAGCAAUUGGUUACAGCAGAGUCAUCUGCUUGAAAGGAGUGAGAAUAGCUCUUGCUAGGCAAUGUGCAGAGCAUGGCAACUCUCACUGCUGCUAAUGGGAGAAGAGGCUCCCGAGCUCCUUUCAGGAAUGUACUGUUUUAAUUUCUAAUGGAGUUAUUUGUUCACUUGUUAAAGAACUCAUCUCUUAGGGCAGAGGCUCUCAGAGACAAUAACAGUGGCCACAUGCAGCCACCAGGGAAUUCAUUGCAGCCACAAGACAAAAACUUGCUCUGAUUGUUCAGUUCUGUUUU